UGUAGCACAUUCUCAAUUUGAAGUGCAAUUCCGUUUCGGACUUGUUCCUUUUCCAGUUGAAAAAAAGCCAAUAUAUUUAAAAUCAUCAGCUGUGAUUGUUCAUUAUACCUAUUAUAUCUUUUUUUAGGCAUUAUCUAACACUUUUCGAAAUAACUUUCAAGAACAAGUUGACAAACCAAUAUUUUUGAUUGACAGUGACGGAUAUUUCACAUAACCUAGUAUAUAAAAGAUGAAUAAUCAUCAGACACCAAUUUUUUUCAAAAGUUUGUUGUCGCCGCUGUUUGGAAUAUGCUAAACAAAGAUAAACAAAAAUGACGUCAUUACAAAUGGGUAUAAUUUCGACUUUAAGAAGCCCUCUAAAUCACUUAUAUUUUUUUAUAUAAUUUAAUUAUCUGGAAACUCAAACACUGAACUUUAGUAAAGUACAAGAUUUAUAUUUUAUAAAAUUAAAACAAAUUUUUUCCGUGAAUUCUUUUUUAACAGAACAGUUGGUGCUUGAUCGAUUGAUAUUCACUCUCGACCACUACUACGCAAGUCAGUCAUACAAAUUGAAAACAGUUCCUUUUUUCAGGCACGUACCGAAAUUUCUGUGAAGAAACGAAUUAAACGGUCCUAGAUUCGCAUUUGGAGCCUUCUGCAAAUCGUCACAACUCGCUUAAAACACUUUUGGACAUUUGCGCAAACGCGUGAAAGUUCGAUGAACGGUUUCUUCGUCGCUUGGAACGAGCGUCGCAACGAAGCUAAAAAUUUAUCAAAAUACCGAAAUGGAGAAUUUUACUGAUCCUACAAAAUUAUCUGAGAAUGAACAGGUGGCUGAAACAACGGCCAUAGUUUUCAAUUUUGCCUUUAGCACUGAAACUCAUCUUUUAGAACUGAAAACAUAGCAUAAGCAUUUUCCCUUUAAUGUCUCUAAAAUCCCUUGUUCAUUUUCAUGUAUUUAGAGGUACAGUAAAUACAGUACAGGUAGGAUAAAGUUUUGGGGUUAUUUUUUGAUUUUCAGAGAUAUCUUAAUAGUAAAUCAAUUAGACGUGAUAAAUAUGUUAAAAGUUGCCUAGUUAUUACGGGGCUUGUUCUCAAUGAGCAUAAAAAAUAAUUCCCGAUAAGUUUUUUAUGUAACACUAACAAUGACACCAGUAAUCAAAAAAAAAAGUUGUCAAUGUUUCAGUCUGUCAAACAAAUAUUGAUUUAUUAAAGUUUUAAUAAUUCAAUAAUAAUAAAGCAUCAUGAAAUUGGCAAAACCAGUCAUGGACGGAUUGUCAGUUAGAAGAGGUCUAAAGGCGGUAAUUUCAGCAGUGUCAUGCUCACUUCUAGGAGGCAUGGCAUGGCAAUAUCUUUAUAUUGAUCGGAAAAGAAAAACCUAUCAGGAUUUCUAUGCGACGUACGAUAUCCAUAAAGAGUUUGAAACUAUGAGGCAAAAAGGCCUUUUCGAUAGCUGUUAGAGGUAGCACUAUAUUUACUUAAAAAAUGUAAUAUUCAAAAAAUAAAACUUAAUAAACGUCAAUAGAA